AGUGAACGCUGGCGGUAGGCCUAACACAUGCAAGUCGAACGGCAGCACAGUAAGAGCUUGCUCUUACGGGUGGCGAGUGGCGGACGGGUGAGGAAUACAUCGGAAUCUACUUUUUCGUGGGGGAUAACGUAGGGAAACUUACGCUAAUACCGCAUACGACCUACGGGUGAAAGCAGGGGAUCUUCGGACCUUGCGCGAUUGAAUGAGCCGAUGUCGGAUUAGCUAGUUGGCGGGGUAAAGGCCCACCAAGGCGACGAUCCGUAGCUGGUCUGAGAGGAUGAUCAGCCACACGAGGACUGAGACACGGGUCAUACUUCUACCGUAGGGAACAGUGGGGAAUUUUGGGCAAUGGGCGCAAGCCUGGUCCAGCCAUACCGCGUGGGUGAAAUAGGCCUUCGGGUUUUAAAGCCCUUUUGUUGGGAAAGAAAAGCAUCAGGUUAAUACCCCGCUGUUCUGACGGUACCCAAAGAAUAAGCACCGGCUAACUUCGUG
rnacentral:rRNA from 1 species